rnacentral:rRNA from 1 species
AUUGAACGCUGGCGGCAGGCCUAACACAUGCAAGUCGAGCGGAUGAAGGGAGCUUGCUCCUGGAUUCAGCGGCGGACGGGUGAGUAAUGCCUAGGAAUCUGCCUGGUAGUGGGGGAUAACGUCCGGAAACGGGCGCUAAUACCGCAUACGUCCUGAGGGAGAAAGAGGGGGAUCUUCGGACCUCACGCUAUCAGAUGAGCCUAGGUCGGUUUAGCUAGUUGGUGGGGUAAAGGCCUACCAAGGCGACGAUCCGUAACUGGUCUGAGAGGAUGAUCAGUCACACUGGAACUGGGACACGGUCCAGACUCCUACGGGAGGCAGCAGUGGGGAAUAUUGGACAAUGGGCGAAAGCCUGAUCCAGCCAUGCCGCGUGUGUGAAGAAGGUCUUCGGAUUGUAAAGCACUUUAAGUUGGGAGGAAGGGCAGUAAGUUAAUACCUUGCUGUUUUGACGUUACCAACAGAAUAAGCACCGGCUAACUUCGUG